AGCUGGAUAAAUGGGGGUGCUCUCUCCCAAGCUGGAUUUUGACGUAAUUUCUUUUGAUGUAGCUAGCAGGUGGCGGAGGUGUAUUUGAAUGUCGGCAACACCCUGACAGUGAUUAGGACGUCCUCUGUCUGCUAGUCUUCUUUCAUCCUUGAAUUCUGUAGAACUCAAAUAGACAACAAAGCUUUGUGGAACUAGUUAAGUGUUAGCAUAAGUAUCUAGCCCUUAACAUGUUGAGCCUCCUCAAUAAAUAUUACUCUCUUUUUAGUAGGAUCACAAUCUUAUUUUUAUAUUUUUCAUUUUUAUAGGACAGGAAUAUAUUUAUUUUAUUUUUAUGCCACCACAGUGAAUGUACUAUGGGUUUUAUGCCAUGAGCAUACUCACAUGGUACUUACUAUUUUUAACAUUUUUAUUUUCUUUUCAAGAUGAUAUGAACCUGAUUAACUAAGCAAACUAUUUUAAAUAAUUGAAAGGAAAAAGAUAACUACCAAGUUUACCUCUUGGCAAGGCGUUCGGUGUUUUUAAGUCCUCCGAACGGGACUCUCUAUUUUCUCUAUCGUCCUAGGAUUCGAUGGAUGGCGUAGUCGGUGGUUCUGGCGGCGCCUCCUCUACGUGUAUAACUAUCUUCUCUCUCUACACCUAACUCGGUGCUACGGUCUCCUCAGGACAGUUUUGUUCAAGUUGUAUGCCUUCAGAUAUUACCACUUCUCCUUCAUAGUCUGCCCAUCCGUCCUUUAUGAUUUGCCUUCUCUGGUUGCGGUUGUGUCGCCUUCUUCUUGUCCUAACCUACUUAGAGUCUUCAACUAUAUAGUUAGGGUCAAUAAAAUAGCGGCGUACCUUCUCACAGGGGAAGUGCAUGUGGACUUCUCUGGUUCCAAUGUAGAUGAUUGCUUUAAUGGUGCUGAGGAACAGUCUGCCAAGGAUGAUGGGUGGAUCGUACUCGUCUUCUCCCAUGUCAAUAACCUUUCGGAAUGUCUGAUCUGCCAUCUGGAGCUGAAUGUAUGUCGGUUUUAGGGGCAUUGUUCCGAAUAGGAGUUGAUAGGUAACUGGGUCGUCCUUUUUGGUCAGGAACGGUGACUUAAGUUGACAAUCUUGACCUCCUUGAACUGGAAUGACCAUCUUAGCUGACUUGGUCCAUAUUUGCUUGUUCCUGUUCCUCCUGUUGGUCCUCUUGGUUCAUGUCGGGAUUGCUCUAGGAUUUGUGUAGUCUUGUUUUUGAAGGAAAACGUCUCCUUCCUUGCCUUGAUGUAAAAACUGAUCUUGGCAGUACUAGCGUAGAUGACAGCUCCUGAGGUGUUCAGGAAUGGCCUCCCUAAGAUGACGGGUGCCCUCUCAUCAGAACCGGUCUCUAUCACCACGAAGUCUGCUGGGGCGUACAAGGUACCAACUCGGAUGCAGAGGUUCUUCAAUAUUCCCUUUGGGAAACUUAGCGUAUGAUCUGCA
rnacentral:lncRNA from 1 species